UACAGGCAUGUGCUAUCACACCCAACCUGAUACAUUGCCUUUAUAAAUUUUUUUUUCUUUAUUCUAAAAACCAGAAAAAACAAAACUGGAUACAUGUGCAGAACAUGCAGACCAAGUGUGUUGGGGACUUGAGAUGCGUACAUGAGUGUUUGUGAUGUUUCCUGCCGAAAGCACAGGUGAGACGUGGUCUUGUAACACAGUGGUUAAGAAUGUGACUUUGGAGCCAGCCUGCUAGGGGCUGAAUUCUGACUCAGCCAUUUACUAACUGUGUGACCUUAGUCUUAGUCUAGUGACUGGUGUUGUCAUAAGAAGAGAGGGACACAGAGGGAAGAUGGCCACAUGAAGAUGGAGGCAGAGAUUGCAGUUAUGCUGCUGCAAACUAAGGAAUGGCUCUGGCCCUCCAAGGGUUGCUGAUAACCACCAGAAACUAGAAGAGACAAGGAAGCAUUCUUCCCUAGAGCCUUCAGAGGGAGCAUGGCCCUACUGACACCUGGAUUUCAAACUUGUAGCUUCCUAAACUGCAAGAGAAUAAAUUUCUGUUGUUUUAA
rnacentral:antisense_RNA from 1 species